rnacentral:misc_RNA from 1 species
CACCACUCAAGCCUAGCUUGGUAUUGGGCGUCGCGGUUCCGCGCGCCUUAAAGUCUCCGGCUGAGCAGUUCGUCUCUAAGCGUUGUGACAUAUAUUUCGCUGAAGAGUUCGGACGGCUUUUGGCCGUUAAAUCUUUUACAA